rnacentral:rRNA from 1 species
GUUGGCUCAGAAGCAGCCACUCAUUCAAAGAGUGCGUAAUAGCUCACUGGUCGAGUGAUUUUGCGCCGAAAAUUUAACGGGGCUAAACUGUACACCGAAGCUUGGGAAUAUACAUUUGUAUGUUGGUAGGAGAGCGUUGUGUAAGGGGUGAAGUCGUAGCGAAAGCGGCGGUGGACUUUACACAAGUGAGAAUGCCGGAAUGAGUAGCGAGAAUUAUGUGAGAAUCAUAAUGGCCGAAAGACUAAGGUUUUAGAAGGAAGGUUCGUCCGCUUCUAGUUAGCCGGGAGCUAAGGCGAGGCCGAGAGGCGUAGUCGAUGCACAUACGGUUGAGAUUCCGUAGCUACCUUGCAUUUAAGCGAAGGGACACAUUUGAAGGGCAUGACCCGGGCGUUGGUUGACCCGGGCGUAAGGGACCGAAAAUAAGUAGGGAAGCAUGCUUGGAUGGUGGCGAGAAAAGCUUCGUGUAUAUAAGCAGGGUACCCGUACUGCAAACCGACACAGGUAGUCAGGAAGAGGAUUCUAAGGCCAUCGGGAGAAGCGUUGUUAAGGAACUCGGCAAAUUGACCCCGUAACUUCGGAAUAAGGGGUGCUCACGCGAGUGAGCCGCAGUGAAUAGGUCCAGGCAACUGUUUAUCAAAAACACAGCUCUCUGCUAAAUCGUAAGAUGACGUAUAGGGGGUGACACCUGCCCGGUGCUGGAAGGUUAAGAGGAGGGGUGCAAGCUCCGAAUUGAAGCCCCAGUAAACGGCGGCCGUAACUAUAACGGUCCUAAGGUAGCGAAAUUCCUUGUCGGGUAAGUUCCGACCCGCACGAAUGGUGUAAUGAUCUGGGCACUGUCUCAACUACCCGCCCGGCGAAAUUGUAGUACCGGUGAAGAUGCCGGUUACCCGCGACAAGACGGAAAGACCCCAUGGAGCUUUACUGUAGCCUAAUAUUGGGUUUCGAUGUUGCAUGCACAGGAUAGAUGGGACACAGGGAAACAAUCGCUUUGGCGGUUGCGGAGUGGCCGUUGGGAUACCAUCCUUGCGAUAUUGGAAUUCUAACCUGCGGCUCUGAAUCGAGUCGGGGGACAUUGUUAGGUGGGCAGUUUGACUGGGGCGGUCGCCUCCUAAAAAGUAACGGAGGCGUUCAAAGGUUCGCUCAGCUUGAACGGAAAUCAAGCAAAAGAGUGCAAACGCAGAAGCGAGCCUAACUGCGAGACUGACGGGUCGAGCAGUAACGAAAGUUGGAGUUAGUGAUCCGGCGGUAUGUGAGUGGAAAUGCCGUCGCUCAACGGAUAAAAGCUACCCUGGGGAUAACAGGCUGAUCUCCCCCAAGAGUCCACAUCGACGGGGAGGUUUGGCACCUCGAUGUCGGCUCAUCGCAUCCUGGGGCUGUAUUCGGUCCCAAGGGUUUGGCUGUUCGCCAAUUAAAGCGGUACGCGAGCUGGGUUCAGAACGUCGUGAGACAGUUCGGUCCCUAUCUGUCGUGGGCGUAGGAUAUUUGAAGGGCGCUGUUCCUAGUACGAGAGGACCGGAAUGGACGCACCGCUGGUGUAUCGGUUGUCAUGCCAAUGGCACGGCCGAGCAGCUAUGUGCGGAUGGGAUAAACGCUGAAAGCAUCUAAGCGUGAAGCCCUCCCUAAGAUAAGAUAUCCCACUGUUUACAGUUAAGACCCCUUAUGGACUAUGAGGUUGAUAGGCUGCGUGUGUAAGUAUGGUGACAUAUUUAGCUAGGCAGUACUAAUAGGUCGAGGGCUUGACCU